AAUUGUAACUAAAUCCAAGGUGGAUAACUCCAAUCUUGUUCAAAUAUAGUAUUGUUUUUUGCAUAAGAUGCUAUGUGUCCAGCUGUUAAAAUCCUUCUUGCUUGUCUUCAGCAAAAUUUCAGAAAAGAAAUAUUAAUCCAUCUUUUUUAUUGCUCAAAAAUCAAUUGCACUGGAGGGAAGGGUAGGAAGAUUCAGAUAUCAAAUAAGAGGUUCACGGUUGAUUAUGUUGGAUUUGUUGGUGAUAGGAAAUAACUAAAAUUUGAAUUCGAUGUGAGUGGCAAUGAUGAAACUCCAUUUCCCAUCAUUCGCGGUUUCCACAGAAGGGCAGCACCGCUCUAUGAUGUUCCAAUUACCUUCCUUGGAUGUCUGAGCCACUCAUUACACUUGCAUAGAUUGUGAAGUUGAUAGAUGUUGUUAGUAACUACAGGAGGAACUGAAAUAUUUAAUCAUAAAAUCAAUGCAUGGUUCUAAUGUCCAUAGAGGAAGGAUUUAAAAAUAACACUUGAUUCCAUUUCAUGUUCUGCUUCCAAGUUUUACAAAACCUAAUGAUAAUUUGUUCAUAAUAAAUCUUAACAAAAAAUAAAUAAAAAAAUGUGCAAAAAUAAAAUAAGAAAACGCUGUAAAUAAUGUAUUUUGCAACUGACUCAUUCCAAACUUUGACUUAUAAUGUGAAAAUGACAUCAACUUUACAUGGUGGACCCAUCAUUAAUCAUCUUCCUAUUGUAAAUGAUUAAUCACUAUUUAAGGAAACAGUACUUGGUGUCCCUAAACUUUAAUAAUGUCGGAUAAGUAGGAUUAGAAGAAUCGGAUACUUAUGCUUGUGACAUUGGAAAUAUAUAAUUUUCAAUUGGUUACUUUAAACAAAAAAAUAAGAUGUUGAGAUCAAGUAGCAAUGAUGAAACUCCAUUUCCCAUCAUUCGCGGUUUCCACAGAUGGGCAGCACCGCUCAAUGAUGUUCCAAUUACCUUCCUUGGAUGUCUGAGCCACCUAUCUAUUUAAUCUAUAGACAUAAAAAAAACCAAUAGAUCCCAGGGGAUCUUGUUAUUCAGUCACCCACCAUUGUUCAUGAGUUCGGUGUAAGUUUGUUAUUUUCUUUACACUUAUCUUUUGGAUUAAGUAAAAACAUCUUGUGUAAACUUUUGAUCAAAACCACUGUGUUUGACAAUGUUCGGCUUUCAAACUGAGGUUUCUUGUUUCUAUAAGCAUGUUUUCUUCAGUUGAAGCAAAUUGAAUCUCAGAAUAAAAUAUCAAAACUGAAAACAGGAAAAAUUAACGUAUACAGGGGAAAUCUACAAAGAUAUAUAUGUAAACUUUUCUUCAGAAACCUGUAGCCUUUGAAAAUAAGCAAAAGCAUUGUUAAUUUCUCACCAUUUACACUAUGGUAUUCUUUGAAAAAUAUGAUCUUUACAACUAGAUAAAAUGAUUAUUCAUUGUGUGGUAAUAUAGAUAAUUAUAAGUCUCUUAAAUGAUAGCAUAUUCAUGUAAAUAGGCAUUGAUAUGUAGUAUUGAAAUGAUGAAAAUAACCAUAAUCCAUUCACUGAGGAAAUUUUCACUGUAACCAUGGCAGCACAGCACCGUGUAGGGGUCAGGGGUUAUUUUCUACUGUUGAGGUUUUCUCAUUGGUCAGGAGAUGAUCCCAAGACCUCUGACCUGGAUUCAGUGCAACUCCCAUGAUAAGAUUUUGGCUCUGAUCUCUGCUGUAAAAUUGUUAUUUUCUAAUAAAGAAAAAAACACAGAAGACUACCUGGCUAGAUAAUGUAAUCAAGUAUGGCUAGGGGAAAGAAAUUUAUAUUUUUCUGCUCCCUGAAAAGAUUGUAAUUGUGGCCAAUUUGAUUCUUUUUCACAUUAAAACUGAUCCUGUUAUGUAGCUGUCGUGGUUGUAAACCGUUUGGCACCUAUGUAACUUGUAUAAACACGGCCAUGCAUUGAUCUGGAUUAAUACAUGAUUUUCUGCAGUGGUGAAAAGGUUAAUGAAAAACAUAGGGCAUGUUUAUAUUACUUAAUUGCGAACUACACAUUCAAGUCAACAGAAACAUGUAUAUUUAGUCAUUUAUUUGGUUGAUAUUAAAAUAUUAUGUAAACUUGUAUUCAGAAAUCCUACGUGAAGCUUUUGAAAAUAAGCAAAUUUCUAACUUUUAACACUAUUGUAUUCUUUGAAAAAUGUUAUCUGCACAAUUGAUUAUAAAAAGAAUUUAUUCAUUGCAUUGUUCUAUAAAUAAAUUACAAGUCUUCUAAAAUAUAAUGCAUUCAUGUAUAUAGGCAAUGAUAUGUAGUAUUGAAAUGAUGAAAAUAUCCAUAAUCCAUUCACUGAGGAAAUUUUCACUGUAACCAUGGCAGCACAGCACCGUGUAGGGGUCAGGGGUUAUUUUCUACUGUUGAGGUUUUCUCAUUGGUCAGGAGAUGACCCCAAGACCUCAGACCUGGAUUCAGUGUAACUCCAAUGAUAAGAUUUUGGCUCUGAUCU